GGAGGGGUCGCAUAGUCCGGCCUAGUGCGCGCGCUUGGAGAGCGCGUAUUCCUCACGGAAUCGUGGGUUCGAAUCCCACCCCCUCCGCCU
rnacentral:tRNA from 1 species